UGGCGGACGGGUGAGUAACGCGUGGGGAACCUGCCCUGUACCGGGGGAUAGCAGCCGGAAACGGCUGAUAAUACCGCAUAAGCGCACGAAUGUCGCAUGACAUGGUGUGAAAAACUCCGGUGGUAUAGGAUGGACCCGCGUCUGAUUAGCCGGUUGGUGGGGUAAAAGCCUACCAAAGCGAAGAUCAGUAGCCGAGUUGAGAGACUGACCGGCCACAUUGGGACUGAGACACGGCCCAGACUCCUACGGGAGGCAGCAGUU
rnacentral:rRNA from 1 species